CGUAGGUGAACCUGCGGAAGGAUCAUUACUUUAUGUGAUGCUCAAAUUUAAAUUCGCAAUGAAAUGAUCGUUGUGAAACGGCUGUCGCUGGUGUCUAAGUGUUGCUGAUACGGUUGUGAACGUCCGUGGCUGUAUAUGUGGUGACAUGUUAGGACUCUAAUGAGUUUAAGACCUAAUGAGCCUCUUAAGUGAGGCCGCCAGCAACCUUUUUUUUCUCUACAUUUUAAAAAAAAAACUAAAAUUCUACCCUUAUCGGUGGAUCACUAGGCUCGUGGAUCGAUGAAGAACGCAGCAAACUGCGAUAAUUAUUGCGAACUGCAGAAGUAUUGAGCACAAAAGUUUUGAACGCAAAUGGCCGCAUUGAGGUCAAACUCUUUGCAACGUCUGGUUCAGGGUCAUUUUCUCUUAUAGCGGAAGCUUUAAUUUCUAUAAUGAUGUUGUUGCUUUAUAUUUUAAAAGGAUUUUUGUUUAUUCAUGUAUUAAAUCUAACUGUGAAAAUCAAACAACUUUGACCUGAACUCAGUCGAGAGCACCCGCUGAACUUAAGCGUAUCAGUAAGCGGAGGAAAAGAAACUAACCAGG
rnacentral:rRNA from 1 species